rnacentral:rRNA from 1 species
ACGUAGGGUGCGAGCGUUAAUCGGAAUUACUGGGCGUAAAGUGUGCGCAGGCGGCCGAGCAAGUCGGGUGUGAAAGCCCCGGGCUCAACCUGGGAAUUGCAUUCGAGACUGCAUGGCUAGGAUGCGGAAGAGGGAAGCGGAAUUUCCGGUGUAGCGGUGAAAUGCGUAGAUAUCGGAAGGAACACCAGUGGCGAAAGCGGCUUCCUGGUCCAGCACCGACGUUCAGGCACGAAAGCGUGGGGAGCAAACAGGA